CUCCCGAUGAAGGUUGUUUUAUCACUCACCACCUUCACUGCACUAAACCACUAUCAAUGAACAAAUACUUGGGGGUGCCUGGGUGGCUCAGUGGGUUUAGCGUCCAACUUUGGCUCAGGUCAUGAUCUCAGGUUCAUGGGUUCGAGCCCUGUGUCGGGUUCUGUGCUAACAGCUCGGAGCCUGAUUGGAAUUCACUCUCUCCCCUUUCUCUUUGUCCCUCCCCCCCUAGUUGUUCUAUCUCAAAAUAAAUACAUCUGAAAAAAAAAA